CGCUCCAACGCUCAGCGCCCAUAAUUUGCUCAACUUCCCAGCUCCAUCGCAGCUAAAGUGCAAGACCUCAGUUGUUCCACUAUGCAACAAAGAUUCCAGCUUCUGCAGUCGGUUAAAUAUUGAAGCCAAAGACUAGAGAUGGAAGCUGUCGGCACGAAGUCGUUGGAAACCAUUCACUGCACUGUGUGUGUGUGUGUGUUUAUUUGUAGGCCGAGCUAUGUUUUGUAUAGUGAGUAUUGUUAAGUAUACUGAGUGUCUUAAGGGGUUAUCAGUCAUGAGGACUCAAUAGUACCAGUUUGGCAGGUAGAAGGGUGUUACAUAAAGAAGGUAUGCUACAGAACCAAAAUUUUCCUUCAGUUUUGUUCAAAUUCAAACAGAACCUGGAGAUUCUCAAGUGCCGUUAGGCCAGGAGGGAUGUCUAGAGCUAUUACUGUUGGCACUCAUGCCAUUGACACAGGGUCAUAUACCAAGUUGUUUGGAUGCUAUUCCUUCCUUAUACUUGAUGCCUUUGGUCCCCUAGCAGUAAAUAGUUAGGCAACUCUUAUAGGUUGCAUCUUAGGAACGCCAGUAGUUGGCUAAGGAAAUCUGGAUAAGCCUAACAAGCUUCCUGCUCUGAUAAUAGGAAACCAUAAGAGUGUGCAAUGUAUCAUGCAGUCAUGCCAGCAACACUGGUGCUAUUUGUCACUGUUUUAGCAAAGUGUAGCUGCAGGAUGAGUUGUACUAGUAGUGUUCAGUACUACCAUUCUGUUUGCAAGAGAAACUCUAAUUUUUUCAGUACCUUAGUUUCUAUAACUUGUAUUUGUGACCUCUUGUUCUUGAAGUUGCAGGGUUCAAGAAAUCCUGU